rnacentral:rRNA from 1 species
UACGUAGGGGGCAAGCGUUGUCCGGAUUUAUUGGGCGUAAAGCGCGCGUAGGCGGCAAGGUAUGUCGUGCGUGAAAUCUCCCGGCUUAACUGGGAGGGCCGUGCGAAACUGCCUGGCUUGAGGUCGGAAGGGGAAAGUGGAAUUCCGGGUGUAGUGGUGGAAUACGUAGAUAUCCGGAGGAACACCAGCGGCGAAGGCGGCUUUUUGGUCCGAUUCUGACGCUGAGGCGCGAAAGCGUGGGGAGCGAUCCGG